rnacentral:rRNA from 1 species
GAGGGUGCAAGCGUUAUCGGAAUACUGGGCGUAAAGCGCACGCAGGCGGUCUGUCAAGUCGGAUGUGAAAUCCCCGGGCUCAACCUGGGAACUGCAUUCGAAACUGGCAGGCUAGAGUCUUGUAGAGGGGGGUAGAAUUCCAGGUGUAGCGGUGAAAUGCGUAGAGAUCUGGAGGAAUACCGGUGGCGAAGGCGGCCCCCUGGACAAAGACUGACGCUCAGGUGCGAAAGCGUGGGGAGCAAACAGGAUUAGAUACCCUGGUAGUCAAGGGCGAAUUCGC